GGAAGUACUCGCACGGGUUCGACUCGAAGGAGAAUGUCUGAGAGCCGGCUGUGAAAGGAGACACUUUGAAGCCUUCCCAUGAUGAGCACUGCCCCCAGUGAGCUAGCUGUGAGUAGCUCACAAGGCUGUGACCGUCUUGGCUCAGGUCUAUGCCCAUGAAGCUGCUGUGUGUGUACCAUAUGAUGAAUACUCCCACCGUCGCUACUCCCACGUACAUACCAAUCACCUGUAGACAAAGUUAACCCACAUUAUUAAUCAACAGUUUAAAAAACAAGUGAGAAGAAUCUGUGUGGUGCUGCAUACCAGAUAGCGGAAGAGGAUCCAGGCAGUGAUAAGCGAGUCAUCGCUUCUGCGAGGAGGCUUCUUCAUGAUAUCCUUGUCAGGGGGAUUGAAUCCCAAAGCAGUAGCUGGAGGACCGUCUGUUACGAGAUUCACCCACAGAAGCUGAACUGGGAUCAUGCCUUCUGGGAUUCCAAGUGCAGCUGUCAAGAAUAUUGAUGCAACCUCACCAAUGUUGGAAGAGAUCAUGUACCUUUUUUUAUUCAUCAUCAUAUAGUCAGAGAUUGAUAGGAUCAGUAUAUGUUACUACAUAACUCGAGCCUUUCUAUAAAUAGUAACUAACAGAAGACUCACCUGAUGAAAGCCUUCAUGUUGUUAUAGAUGGACCUGCCUUCACCAACAGCUGCCACAAUAGUGCUGAAGUUAUCAUCUGCUAACACCAUGUCUGAUGCCUCCUUUGCUACCUGCAAGAAAUAACCUCAGAGCUUUAGAAAGCUGAUAGAGCCAUAAUCAUCCAGUUUCAUAAAACCGAAAUAAAAUCGUUCUUGCAGAAGAGAGGAGAGAGACAUGUACCUCUGUGCCAGAGAUACCCAUAGCCACACCUAUAUCAGCCAACUUAAGUGCAGGAGCAUCAUUGACUCCAUCUCCAGUCAUGGCAACCACUUCUCCAUCUUCUUUGAGCAACCUAACAAUCUCUUGCUUGUGCUUUGGUUCAGCUCUAGAGAACAAGAGCCCUCCACUUUGCCUCAGAUGAUUCUUCUGAUCUUUAACAUCCAUAAACUCUUUUCCAGUCAAGCUUCUGGUGGAGAUAUCUUCAUCUGCCUCAAACACUCCAAUCUCACGGCAGAUUGCUUCCGCGGUGCUCUUGUUGUCUCCAGUUAUGACCAUGACUCGGAUACCUGCUGUUCUGCAGUCUGCAAUGGCUUGACGCACCUCUUUCCUCGGAGGAUCCUUCAAAAAAAAAAAAAGUUAGAGCAUGAAUCAAUGACCAAAGAGGAACAAGAAGGAACUGAAACUCACCCUUAGACCAACAAAUCCAACAAAUGUUAGAUUGGAUUCAAUAGAAGAGUAAUUAGAUGGGUUGAGAAGUUGCUGGUGAGCAGGAUGGUCUUCACUGCCAUCAUAAGUAGCGAAGUCUGAUGGAACAUCAGAGUAGGCGAAUCCGAGACACCUUAAUGCACUCAUGGACAUAUCAUGUAGGCUUUGUAGAAUAAGGUCCCUUGAGUACUGGUCAAGCUCUUGAGUUGAACCAUCAAGUAACUGAAUAUGCGUACUCCUUUCCAAUACAUUCUCAACGGCACCCUGCACAAAAAAUUCAAAACCGGUCUCUUAGUAGCUGAAGAAAAGAGUGGACAAAGGAUUCUUUCAACUAAAGCACACGCCACAUAGAAUGAUAGAACAGACCUUGACCAGUAACAGUUUCGUUCCUGAGCUGGAAUCCACCAUAACUCCCAUUGAUUUCCUGUCUCGGUCGAACUCAAGAGUGGCAAUACGAUGCUCUAGUUCACUCCACAGCCCACAACAACCUUCAGUAAUGUUAUAAAAGGGUUAUACAUGAGUUUCUUGUAUCUGGAAAAAAAAAACAUGAGAAACAAAUAUAACCAAUUACACAUACGUAAGACAUUGCCAUCAGCCAAAGAUGAAGCUUUAUCAGCUCCUUCAGGGAAUCCCAUUUUCUCAACUAAAACCUGCUCGAGGAAACAAACACCAAUAGAAAAUAAAUGCAGAUUAACACUUGACAGCCUUUGAAGCUUGAAAACAGGGAGCAGAAGAAGUAUACUUAGUAGACUGUUUUACCUUCAAAGCUGCCUCAGUAGGCAUGCCCCUAGCAACAAACUGAUUCUCAGAUUUCUCAACAUAAGCAUCAUUGCAAACGGCAGCGAUUUUCGCAAUCAUCUGAAGAUUUUUAUCCAUCCUACCCACAGGCCAAUCUUCAAUCUCUCCAUCUCGUGGAUCAAAAGAAGUCCCCUCAACUAAUCUUGAUACACCACCAAAGUUUGACCUUUAUCUUGGUCCGAAUAUUUGGACCACGGUCGAUUUGCAAAGAAAAGUCAACGGUACAAGAGAGGAACUCAUUCACAUAUCGAGGUCAACUUCAUUACAAGUCUGCCUUGUUAAGACAGGAACCACAACGCCGGUGAUAUCAGCUUUAGAGCUACGACCAUUGAGAAAUGAUAUUUACAUUCCUCAAUCUGGUUCUCUGAAGAAUCGGUUCCGAGUCUAUUUGACCGACUCUAGAGACAUCGUCCGGUAAGUCAAAUUAACUUGCCUACCUAACAUGUUCGUUGAUAUUAGUAACUUAUAUCUCAAUGCAUCUGUACAAAGUCACAUUUGUUAAUAAAAUUAUACAGUAUUGUAUACAUUUUAAGAUUAAGGAAAAUAUUUUUAUAAAAAAAAUAAUAAUAUCUAAUUUUGAAUCUGUAUAAAUAUGGGUCUAAAAAGUUGUGGAUAUUUAGUCAUUAUACAAACUCUAAAACAGGUAUUUGACUCAAUCAUAUUUUGCUUUGUUAAGAUGAUUCUCUUAUUAAUUAGCGUUUGUUUACUAUACACUUAACGCCUAAUAUGAUCUCUCUUUAGGUACCCACUAGAUGUCCAUGAUCGUCUUUGGUCUCCAUUUUUCAUGUCGGAAUGGAAACUACUAAGAACAAGUCUCUCAGUCAAUACCUCUGAUGACGAUUAUGACAUACCAGAAGAUGUAUUGGUUACGGCAGCCACUCCAGCAAAUGUGAGUUUACCAUUGACCAUUUCUUGGAACGUGGAAACUCCUAGCGACUUGUUUUAUGCAUACCUGCACGGUGCUGAGAUCCAAUCCUUAAGGGACAAUGAUACCAGGGAAUUUAACAUUACCGCAGGUCCAAAUGUUAGUUAUGGACCUGUUAGUCCCGAGGAGUUGCUAGUAAAUACUUUAUCCAACACAUCGAUUCUUCUCACUUGUUUUUGAAACUCUUGAUUAAUAAUGUGGGUUAACUUUUGUCUACAGGUGAUUGGUAUGUACGUGGGAGUAGCGACGGUGGGAGUAUUCAUCAUAUGGUACACACACAGCAGCUUCAUGGGCAUAGACCUGAGCCAAGACGGUCACAGCCUUGUGAGCUACUCACAGCUAGCUCACUGGGGGCAGUGCUCAUCAUGGGAAGGCUUCAAAGUCUCUCCAUUCACAGCCGGCUCUCAGACAUUCUCCUUCGAGUCAAACCCGUGCGAGUACUUCCAUCAGGGGAAGAUCAAAGCGUCCACGCUCUCCCUCUCGGUGUUGGUGGCUAUUGAGAUGUUCAACUCACUGAACGCGCUCUCGGAGGACGGGAGCCUUGUGACGAUGCCGCCGUGGGUGAACCCGUGGCUGCUCUUGGCGAUGGCGGUGUCGUUUGGGCUGCAUUUUGUGAUACUGUACGUGCCCUUCUUGGCGCAGGUGUUUGGGAUAGUGCCGCUGAGUUUGAACGAGUGGCUGCUGGUGUUGGCGGUGUCGCUUCCUGUGAUUCUGAUAGAUGAAGUUCUCAAGUUUGUAGGGAGGUUGACCAGUGGAUACCGUUACUCACCUCGCACUCCCUCUGCCAAGCAAAAGACGGAGUAGUAGGAAGGAUUAUAAAGGAACGAAGGCGUAUUAUUUAGAGUUUAAGACUCUUAGUUUUAGCUGAAAUAUUCACUUUGUUGCGCUUAACUCAAAGUCAGCUUCGUUGGUUAUUUUAAAUUUUCCAAACGAUAUCUUUUGAUUGAUAAAAAUGUUCGUCACUUGGAUCUCAUUUUGGUUCGUCAACAUGGGGUUCAACACAAUGUAAUGGAAAGAUGAAUGUUUCAACCUCAUAGUAGAUUGUAGUUAAGCGUUUUUAUGGUUAUUUUUUGGAGUAGCUUGACGAGUGUUUUGAUUCAGGUUACAAACUCAGAGCAUAGUUCAUUGAUCAUUACAGUUAUGGUUACUUCUACUUGUACAGUUUUUGUAUACUUGCGUUAAAUGAUCAAUGAACUAUGCUCUGAGUUUGUAACCUGAAUCAAAACACUCGUCAAGCUACUCCAAAAAAUAACCAUAAAAACGCUUAACUACAAUCUACUAUGAGGUUGAAACAUUCAUCUUUCCAUUACAUUGUGUUGAACCCCAUGUUGACGAACCAAAAUGAGAUCCAAGUGACGAACAUUUUUAUCAAUCAAAAGAUAUCGUUUGGAAAAUUUAAAAUAACCAACGAAGCUGACUUUGAGUUAAGCGCAACAAAGUGAAUAUUUCAGCUAAAACUAAGAGUCUUAAAUAAAUAAUACUCCUACUCCGUCUUUUGCUUGGCAGAGGGAGUGCGAGGUGAGUAACGGUAUCCACUGGUCAACCUCCCUACAAACUUGAGAACUUCAUCUAUCAGAAUCACAGGAAGCGACACCGCCAACACCAGCAGCCACUCGUUCAAACUCAGCGGCACUAUCCCAAACACCUGCGCCAAGAAGGGCACGUACAGUAUCACAAAAUGCAGCCCAAACGACACCGCCAUCGCCAAGAGCAGCCACGGGUUCACCCACGGCGGCAUCGUCACUAGGCUCCCGUCCUCCGAGAGCGCGUUCAGUGAGUUGAACAUCUCAAUAGCCACCAACACCGAGAGGGAGAGCGUGGACGCUUUGAUCUUCCCCUGAUGGAAGUACUCGCACGGGUUCGACUCGAAGGAGAAUGUCUGAGAGCCGGCUGUGAAAGGAGACACUUUGAAGCCUUCCCAUGAUGAGCACUGCCCCCAGUGAGCUAGCUGUGAGUAGCUCACAAGGCUGUGACCGUCUUGGCUCAGGUCUAUGCCCAUGAAGCUGCUGUGUGUGUACCAUAUGAUGAAUACUCCCACCGUCGCUACUCCCACGUACAUACCAAU
rnacentral:lncRNA from 1 species